rnacentral:rRNA from 1 species
UACGUAGGGUGCAAGCGUUAAUCGGAAUUACUGGGCGUAAAGCGUGCGCAGGCGGUUUUGUAAGUCUGUCGUGAAAGCCCCGGGCUCAACCUGGGGAAUUGCGAUGAAGACUGCAAGGCUUGAAUCUGGCAGAGGGGGGUAGAAUUCCACGUGUAGCAGUGAAAUGCGUAGAGAUGUGGAGGAACACCGAUGGCGAAGGCAGCCCCCUGGGUCAAGAUUGACGCUCAUGCACGAAAGCGUGGGGAGCAAACAGG